CGAGAGGCCUGGGUAAUCUUUUAAACGCGCAUCGUGAUAGGGAUAGAUUAUUGCAAUUAUUAAUCUUGAACGAGGAAUUCCUAGUAAACGCGAUUCAUCAGAUCGCAUUGAUUACGUCCCUGCCCU
rnacentral:rRNA from 1 species